AGACGUGGCUCGAACAUACUGUUACAAAUCCUGCAGCAUAUAGUUUCCAACAACUAUUGCUUGAACAGGCAACACCUAUGAAAAAUAUGAGUAAUUGAUGUAGAAAAAAGUAGUGCACAGAUAAGAAAAGGUGGAAAGAUAAGAAGUUAUGUUGGUGCACCCUAGUAAGGGAUUCAUAGUCCACAAUGAGUGGUGUGCAGACCUUCUUUC
rnacentral:lncRNA from 1 species